rnacentral:rRNA from 1 species
UACGUAGGGGGCAAGCGUUGUCCGGAUUUAUUGGGCGUAAAGAGCGUGUAGGCGGUCAGGUAGGUCCGUUGUGAAAACUCGAGGCUCAACCUCGAGACGCCGAUGGAAACCAUCUGACUAGAGUCCGGAAGAGGAGAGUGGAAUUCCUGGUGUAGCGGUGAAAUGCGCAGAUAUCAGGAGGAACACCGAUUGCGAAGGCAGCUCGCUGGGACGUAACUGACGCUGAGACGCGAAAGCGUGGGGAGCAAACAGG